UCGUAGUUGAACCUUGGGUCUGGCUGGCCGGUCCGCCUCACCGCGAGUACUGGUCCGGCGGGACCUUUCCCUCUGGGGAACGUCAUGGCCUUCACUGGCUGGGGCGGGAACCCGGAAUUUUACUGUUAAAAAAUUUGAGUGGCCAAAGGAGGCCUUCGUUCGAAUUUGUUUGCAUGGAAUAAUAAAAUAGGACCUGCGGUUCUAUUUUGUUGGUUUCUAGGACCGCCCUAAUGGUUAAAAGGGAUGGUCGGGGGCAAUAAGACUUCAGU
rnacentral:rRNA from 1 species